UACGUGGGGGGCAAGCGUUAUCCGGAUUUACUGGGUGUAAAGGGAGCGUAGACGGCAAUGCAAGUCUGGAGUGAAAGGCGGGGGCCCAACCCCCGGACUGCUCUGGAAACUGUAUAGCUGGAGUGCAGGAGAGGUAAGUGGAAUUCCUAGUGUAGCGGUGAAAUGCGUAGAUAUUAGGAGGAACUCCAGUGGCGAAGGCGGCUUACUGGACUGUAACUGACGUUGAGGCUCGAAAGCGUGGGGAGCAAACAGG
rnacentral:rRNA from 1 species